ACUGAGAACAACAAUGUCGCAGAACUAUUCAAUUUUGAACUUAAAAAUUACAAAAAUUGUGACAAAGAAAAUUAGUCCUUAGGUUAGGAACCGUGGCAUAUUCACGCGCAUACAAAUCCAACGUACAUUUAGUAUAAAGUGGCAAAGAAAGACCUAGAAGAAGUAUCGAUAAUUGGGACAAGGACUCGAUCGGGGAACGUGUCAACGGGUAACCUGGUUGGUGGCAACACAGGGGGAACGUUGGUCGGAAAAGUAUCCGCGACAGCUGUAACAAUCAAGCUCGAUUUCCCUGUGCCGGGGUCACCGUGACAGAGGAGUAAUAAGGGAGAUAUGAUCAAGUAGCAAGGAUAACAGGGUCAUUACAGCAAAGCCCGGUGCAGAUAACAUUCGGUUUGGAUAGCCCCUUUGGUCGAGUACUAGAAACGGGUCCUCAAAACUCCAGCCCCGAAGCUACCAACAAUGGCUUCCUCAAUCUCUGCUUCUUUGUAAACCUGCGGACGAGUCCGCAGGAUAUAUCCGUGGAGAAAGUGUUGAGCUCAAAGUUGGACUUCAGUCCCAAGUUUAUGAUAUGGACUUCGGUCCCAAGGUAAAGGUAAGGCUAAAGUAGAGGGCAAGCAAAGUGAAUCAGGAUCCAUGGGUUAACAGUGUGUACAGAGCCGUCUUAAUCAAAGGAAGACUAUAGAAUGUAAAGAAUCCAGAAUUGGGAAGCAACCAGUUGAAGUUUCAUCCAAUGUGACAAUCACUUUGGAAGGUCAAGGUUUGCAAGUGAAGGGUCAUCUAGGGCAGCAUUCACUCACCUAUCCACGUGAAGUAAAAGUUGAGAGGGAGGAGUCAGGUGCGCGCCCUUAGGGUUAGAAAGGCAGUGGAAACAAGACGGGCCAAUCAAAUGCAUGGUCUAUUUAGGUAAGGUCACUUCAAUUUUGUUUUCUAAUUAAUUCAGUUAUUUAUUCAUGCUUGGAGAUUUAUGUACCUCCUUCAUUCUUAAUAUCUGUUUAUUUUUGUAAUUUUAGGACAUAAUUUGAUUUGAAUUAUGCUGGUAGAUCUUGUUUAUGGAGCAGAAGAUUUUGAAAUUUCUUGA